rnacentral:rRNA from 1 species
CCCGCACAAGCGGAGGAACAUGUGGUUUAAUUCGAUGAUACGCGAGGAACCUUUACCCGGGCUCGAACGGUGCAGGAAUAUGGUAGAGAUAUCAUAGCUAGCAAUAGUCUGUAUCGAGGUGCUGCAUUGGUUGUCGUCAGCUCGUGCCGUGAGGUGUCGGCUUAAGUGCCAUAACGAGCGCAACCCUUGUCGUUAGUUACCAUCAAGUAAAGUUGGGGACUCUAGCGAGACUGCCACCGUAAGGUGUGAGGAAGGGGGGGAUGACGUCAAAUCAGCACGGCCCUUACGUCCGGGGCGACACACGUGUUACAAUGGUAGGUACAGAGGGGCGCUAUCCAGUGAUGGAGUGCGAAUCUCAAAAACCUAUCUCAGUUCGGAUUGGAGUCUGCAACUCGACUCCAUGAAGUCGGAACCGCUAGUAAUCGCGGAUCAGCACGCCGCGGUGAAUACGUUCCCGGGCCUU